rnacentral:rRNA from 1 species
GACAGAGGCCCCAAGCGUUAGGCGGAAUCACUGGGCUUAAAGCGUGUGUAGGCGGAUGCCUAAGUACCUUGUGAAAUCCCACGGCUCAACCGUGGAACUGCUGGGUAUACUGGGUGUCUUGGGCCAUUCAGGGGCGACUGGAACAAGCGGUGGAGCGGUGAAAUGCGUAGAUAUCGCUUGGAACGCCGAAGGUGAAAACAGGUCGCUGGGGAUGUGCCGACGCUGAGACACGAAAGCCAGGGGAGCAAACGGG